rnacentral:rRNA from 1 species
AGUUUGAUCCUGGCUCAGGAUGAACGCUAGCUACAGGCUUAACACAUGCAGGUCGAGGGGCAGCAUGACCUAGCAAUAGGUUGAUGGCGACCGGCGCACGGGUGAGUAACACGUAUCCAACCUACCGGUUAUUCCGGGAUAGCCUUUCGAAAGAAAGAUUAAUACCGGAUAGUAUAACGAGAAGGCAUCUUCUUGUUAUUAAAGAAUUUCGAUAACCGAUGGGGAUGCGUUCCAUUAGUUUGUUGGCGGGGUAACGGCCCACCAAGACAUCGAUGGAUAGGGGUUCUGAGAGGAAGGUCCCCCACAUUGGAACUGAGACACGGUCCAAACUCCUACGGGAGGCAGCAGUGAGGAAUAUUGGUCAAUGGACGAGAGUCUGAACCAGCCAAGUAGCGUGAAGGAUGACUGCCCUAUGGGUUGUAAACUUCUUUUAUAUGGGAAUAAAGUGAGCCACGUGUGGCUUUUUGUAUGUACCAUACGAAUAAGGAUCGGCUAACUCCGUGCCAGCAGCCGCGGUAAUACGGAGGAUCCGAGCGUUAUCCGGAUUUAUUGGGUUUAAAGGGAGCGUAGGCGGACUAUUAAGUCAGCUGUGAAAGUUUGCGGCUCAACCGUAAAAUUGCAGUUGAUACUGGUCGUCUUGAGUGCAGUAGAGGUAGGCGGAAUUCGUGGUGUAGCGGUGAAAUGCUUAGAUAUCACGAAGAACUCCGAUUGCGAAGGCAGCUUACUGGACUGUAACUGACGCUGAUGCUCGAAAGUGUGGGUAUCAAACAGGAUUAGAUACCCUGGUAGUCCACACAGUAAACGAUGAAUACUCGCCGUUUGCGAUAUACAGCAAGCGGCCAAGCGAAAGCAUUAAGUAUUCCACCUGGGGAGUACGCCGGCAACGGUGAAACUCAAAGGAAUUGACGGGGGCCCGCACAAGCGGAGGAACAUGUGGUUUAAUUCGAUGAUACGCGAGGAACCUUACCCGGGCUUAAAUUGCAUCUGAAUAAUUUGGAAACAGAUUAGCCGUAAGGCAGAUGUGAAGGUGCUGCAUGGUUGUCGUCAGCUCGUGCCGUGAGGUGUCGGCUUAAGUGCCAUAACGAGCGCAACCCUUAUCUUUAGUUACUAACAGGUCAUGCUGAGGACUCUAGAGAGACUGCCGUCGUAAGAUGUGAGGAAGGUGGA